rnacentral:rRNA from 1 species
CAGUCGCCGCGGUAACACGUAGGGUGCGAGCGUUAAUCGGAAUUACUGGGCGUAAAGCGUGCGCAGGCGGUUAUAUAAGACAGAUGUGAAAUCCCCGGGCUCAACCUGGGACCUGCAUUUGUGACUGUAUAGCUAGAGUACGGUAGAGGGGGAUGGAAUUCCGCGUGUAGCAGUGAAAUGCGUAGAUAAGCGGAGGAACACCGAUGGCGAAGGCAAUCCCCUGGACCUGUACUGACGCUCAUGCACGAAAGCGUGGGGAGUAAACAGGAUUAGAGACCCCAGUAGUCCCUGUCUCUUAUAC